rnacentral:rRNA from 1 species
AACGCGAAGAACCUUACCUGGGCUCGAAGCACAGUGGACCGGGGUAGAAAUACCCCUUUUCGCAAGAACUGCUGUGGAGGUGCUGCAUGGCUGUCGUCAGCUCGUGUCGUGAGAUGUUGGGUUAAGUCCCGCAACGAGCGCAACCCUUAUCGUUAGUUGCCAGCGGGUCAAGCCGGGCACUCUAGCGAAACCGCCUCGGAUAACGGGGAGGAAGGUGGGGAUGACGUCAAGUCCUCAUGGCCUUUAUGUCCAGGGCUACACACGUGCUACAAUGGCCGGUACAAACCGUCGCAAACCCGCGAGGGGGAGCUAAUCGGAAAAAGCCGGCCUCAGUUCGGAUUGGAGUCUGCAACUCGACUCCAUGAAGCUGGAAUCGCUAGUAAUCGCGGAUCAGCACGCCGCGGUGAAUACGUUCCCGGGCCUUGUA